rnacentral:rRNA from 1 species
GGGGCAGCAUGGUCUUAGCUUGCUAAGACUGAUGGCGACCGGCGCACGGGUGAGUAACACGUAUCCAACCUGCCGUCUACUCUUGGACAGCCUUCUGAAAGGAAGAUUAAUACAAGAUGGCAUCAUGAGUCCGCAUGUUCACAUGAUUAAAGGUAUUCCGGUAGGCGAUGGGGAUGCGUUCCAUUAGAUAGUAGGCGGGGUAACGGCCCACCUAGUCUUCGAUGGAUAGGGGUUCUGAGAGGAAGGUCCCCCACAUUGGAACUGAGACACGGUCCAAACUCCUACGGGAGGCAGCAGUGAGGAAUAUUGGUCAAUGGGCGAGAGCCUGAACCAGCCAAGUAGCGUGAAGGAUGACUGCCCUAUGGGUUGUAAACUUCUUUUAUAAAGGAAUAAAGUCGGGUAUGUAUACCCGUUUGCAUGUACUUUAUGAAUAAGGAUCGGCUAACUCCGUGCCAGCAGCCGCGGUAAUACGGAGGAUCCGAGCGUUAUCCGGAUUUAUUGGGUUUAAAGGGAGCGUAGAUGGAUGUUUAAGUCAGUUGUGAAAGUUUGCGGCUCAACCGUAAAAUUGCAGUUGAUACUGGAUAUCUUGAGUGCAGUUGAGGCAGGCGGAAUUCGUGGUGUAGCGGUGAAAUGCUUAGAUAUCACGAAGAACUCCGAUUGCGAAGGCAGCCUGCUAAGCUGCAACUGACAUUGAGG